AACAAAACUGCCUAGUUUCUUAGCUUGACCCAUGGAGACUCUGCUUUUCAUAAUAACACUGCUUAAGGAUACCAGAUCUUUUUAAAGCUGUUUUGAAGAUCAAAAAACCAUCUUUAGAGUUCAUUACUAUUAGCAAAACCUCAGUAACAAAAGUCUGAUCUUUGGUGGUGGAGAUGAGGGGGCAGAUGUGGAGAGAGAGGGAAAGGACGGUUAUUUACCGAGUUCUAAUUGCCGAGCACUGUGUCAGGGCUUCACCUGUUGCUUUCCCCAUCAACCACAUAUAGUUUAAAAGUGGGUCUUCAGAGCUCCAGGUCAAACAGCAGGCUCUUUAUUUCCAUUUCAGGAAUCCCCGUUGCCUCCUUUAAGAGACAAGAAGACCCACAAAUCCUGUCUCGCUGUUCCUAAGGUACAGAAACUGAAGUCAUUUUUCUCUUCCUUUCUUGGAAAAAUGCUGUUAUGUCUGCAGAGCAUAAGUCUGUAAAAACACAAAAAUUAAUAUAUCAUAUCCAUCUUCAAAGUAGCCAUAUUUGGGAAUAGGGAAACUACAGUGAGUAUUUUUCCUGCAGCAAAUCAGAGGCUAAUCCAGACGCCCAAGCCCCAGAAUGCACCUGUGUUCGGCAGCUGUAUCUGGGGAAGUCACCCAGCAUGAUCUACUGUGCUGGCUCUUUCCAAGAGGAGCCUCAGAAGGAAGGAGAAAAAUGUCUGAGGGCUCGUCUGGGGAGAAAUAAAAGAAAUAAUUGUUCUAAAAAAAAGGAGAAAUUGGUAUUUCACCGGCAGCCUAAGAUGCACAGAAGCACUUUAAACUCCUGUGGCUGGCAUCCGUCAUCUGAAAAUCACCAACUUGUUUAAAAAUCCCUCACCGGGGGAUUGUGCUGCUGCUGCCAGGCAGCCUGAAACCGAGUGUGUCUAGAUACUCAUAUGUCCUCGACGGGGGCCCUGGGGGACUCUGGUGUGCUGCGGCCUGAAUGCCUCUUGCCAACAUUCGUAUGGGAACGGCAGAACAAGAAACUCGAUUUCAGCACAAGUCAGCUGCUAUGGAGAAGGAGCCACGUGGAAGUGAGGUUUCGCCAUCAAGGUUUCAAUGAGCCCCAGGUGUACGGCAAAGGGGGAGGAUAUUUGCCCCAGACAAGGUCCCCUAUUGCAGUGCACACUGUUCCCGGUUCUGGCUUUCUUAACACAGAGACAAAAUGAUCCUGCCUGGAAACAACGCAAGUGUUGUGAUACACAGAGCUGUGGGGUGAUGGAAAUCAAACUAACAGUGGUUUAAGCCUUGAUGAAACUGAGCUAUGAUGAAACAUGGCACGAGGUGGUUUGGGAAGGGCUGCACAGGGGAAGAUGGAGCACAGCAACAGUGGGCUGAAGAUCUUUGCGUGUCUAGUCUGCUGCUGCUGCUGCUAAGUCGCUUCAGUCGUGUCCGACUCUGUGUGACCUCAUAGACAGCAGCCCAUUAGGCUCCUCUGUCCCUGGGAUUCUCCAGCUAAAGUGACUUGACUGAUCCAAGCAGGAUUUCUCAGUCAGAAAAGUAUAUGAGGGUCACCUCAACUAGACAGCUGCACAUGGAUCGAAGCCAAAAUGAGAGCCCGGAUGGGGGUCUCCACGUGAGAUACAGAUGAAAGAGGAGAGAGUUGAGAAAAACAAAACAAGCAGACCAGCACUGAGAAUAGGAAAAAGGCUUCCACAUCACCUUCCUCCUCUGACCACUCUUCCUCUGCAGCCCAAGGACUGAAUGAGAAGGUUGUACCAACUAUCACUUCUGGGUAUUUUGGUUGUACAUGCACAGAUCAAAGAGAUGACUACUGGGUGGUCUUAGUGGACCAACUGUGAUGUGAAGCUCCACCAAGACUGCAUACAUAAUGCGGCCUCUGUAUGCAUCCAUGUAAUAAGGAUGUCAGCAUGAUGCUGUGAAUUUCUGGGUAUCACUGUCAACCUGGAUUCUGUGUCCUGCAGUCCUCUGGAUGUUGAUACACUCCCUUCUCCCUGGUUCAGAGUUAUCCCAAGUAAAUGGCCAUCGGUUCCUUUGGAGCUGAACUGGAA
ensembl:lncRNA